AUACGUAGGGGGCGAGCGUUGUCCGGAAUGAUUGGGCGUAAAGGGCGCGUAGGCGGCGCGGUAAGUCUGGAGUGAAAGUUCUGCUUUCAAGGUGGGAAUUGCUUUGGAUACUGCCGCGCUUGAGUGCAGGAGAGGUUAUCGGAAUUCCCGGUGUAGCGGUGAAAUGCGUAGAGAUCGGGAGGAACACCAGUGGCGAAGGCGGGUAACUGGACUGCAACUGACGCUGAGGCGCGAAAGUGUGGGGAGCAAACAGGAUUAGAUACCCUGGUAGUCCACACUGUAAACGAUGAAUGCUAGGUGUAAGAGGUAUCGACCCCUUUUGUGCCGGAGUCAACACAAUAAGCAUUCCGCCUGGGGAGUACGGCCGCAAGGUUGAAACUCAAAGGAAUUGGCGGGG
rnacentral:rRNA from 1 species